CACCCUUCUCAUCAGCAUAGCUCUCUGCUGCAUAUUCUGAAUGCAUUCUCUACAUUAAACUGCCACUGGUAUCAGGGAGACAGUAUAAUACUAUACAUUUCUCUAGGACCUUUCAUCUGAGGAUCUCAAAUAAUUAAGACUGACAGCAUCCCUGGGAGAGAGGGAAAUAUUGUUAUACCAGUUUACAGAAUUGUGAACUGAGUGGUGAAGAGACAUGACUCACCACGUGUUACAUGAUGGAGUCGGUCCCACCUCUUAUAACUAAGAGGGCCCAGCUAUCUUCACCUAUCAUUCAGCCUAAAGCAGGCCCUAUUUUCUCCACCAAGACAGCACUGCACCUGUGAAAGAGCCUCAAGUAGGCCAAUUCCAUGCAAGGCAGCAACAAUCCAAAGGUCAGGGGAAAUGAGAAGACUGACACUACAUCAGCAGCUCAAAGAAUCUGCAUAUGCUGGUGGUGGAAACUGCUCAUGAUUGUGAUUACAGACAGUUAGCAGCAAACUGGACUGACUCAAGCAUCAUGUGGGGCAUAGGAGAGGGAUUUACAGCAUUAGAUACACAAAUCUCCCAUACAGAGACAUGUAGAGUGUGCUACAGAAAUUCACAAUCUCUUAACUGUGGUGUGGAUUUUAAAAGUACAUUUGUAUCCAGUGUGCAUAUAAUUUCUGCUAGUUAAACAGAAACCAUCAUUGCUGUACCUACACAUACCUCUAAAGCAUCCCUUGUGCCCGGAUGGGGUGUUGCAAGGGACUUCCCCCUCUCAUGCUGCUUCCUGCUGGUAGCCACUUCAUUGGCUGCAAUGGCCAGUUCUAGGCAGGGUGUUCUCCAGUUUCCCUCUCUGAGUUUUCUGUGGCUCAACCCUCCAGCCAAAUUAAACAACAAAACAUCCAAUUUAAAGUCCAAAUCAAAUGCCCAGACUAAUAGCUCCUCUGCGCUGCUCGGGGUCUCCUGAAGUCUUCUGCUUCCUGGCUCCUUCUCCUGGGCAGAGCUUUUU